rnacentral:rRNA from 1 species
UACGUCGGGAGCAAGCGUUGUCCGGAAUCAUUGGGCGUAAAGCGCGCGUAGGCGGCCUCAUAAGUCCGUUGUGAAAGUCAAAGGCUCAACCUUUGAAAGCCGAUGGAUACUGUGAGGCUAGAGUCCGGAAGAGGCGAGUGGAAUUCCUGGUGUAGCGGUGGAAUGCGCAGAUAUCAGGAGGAACACCAAUAGCGAAGGCAGCUCGCUGGGACGGUACUGACGCUAAGGCGCGAAAGCGUGGGGAGCGAACAGG